GCUAGAUACGAGGCAGGAGCCGGGGGAAUGCGUAGGGGGCAAGGGUUGUCCGGAAGCACUGGGCGUAAAGCGGGCGGAGGGGGCGCGUUAAGUGAGAUGUUAAAUCGUGUGGCUCAACCAUAUCGAUGCGUCUCAUACUGGCGUGCUAGAGGACAGCAGAGGCAAGUGGAAUUGGUAGUGUAGCAGUGAAAUGCGUAGAUAUUACCAGGAACACCAAUGGCGAAGGCAGCUUGCUGGGCUACUCCUGACACUGAGGUACGAAAGCGUGGGGAGCGAACAGGAUUAGAUACCCCAGUAGUC
rnacentral:rRNA from 1 species